rnacentral:tRNA from 1 species
GCCUGGGUGGCGGAAUAGGUAGACGCAGAGGACUUAAAAUCCUCUUCCGCUUUGCGGAGUGCCGGUUCGAUUCCGGCCCCAGGCA